UAACUGAUUUGUUUUUGCAGGUACCCGCAUUUAAAAUUCGUUUCGUCGCUGUGGUUGUUCCGCUUGUCGGCCAUAUUUAUCCACUUCUUCCCCGCUAUAUUACUAGAUACACUGCUUCGUAUAACUGGCGGGCGUGCUAUACUGUUCCGUUUAAAUAAAAAUGUAUGGAACUCACUCAGCCGCUUGGAGAGGUUCAUAUUUUCCGAAUGGAAGUUCUACAAUCCGAACACGUUAGAUUUGUGCAAACAGCUGAACAAGACAGACAGGGAGUUGUUCUUUAUAGAUAUCUCCACUUUAGUUUGGAAGGAUUACUUCACGAACCUGCUUCUAGGCGUAAGGAAAUAUUUGAAUAAUGAGAAGGAAAGCUCACUGCCGGCAGCCAGGAGGAAAGAUUCUGUAUUAUUGGUGGUUCAUAUAGUCUGGCAGAUUUUCAUCAUCGGAUUGCUGUGGUAUGCCUUCGCAGCUCUCGCGGGCCUCACCAUGAUACAGAGCGCUUGGGUCGCCCCCGCUAUAUACAUGUUGUACAGUUUAUUAUAAGUGUAUUAUAAUAUAAUAGGACAGAUAUAAUGAUUACCUGCGACUUUGUCUGCGUGAAGUUAUGAAAACGUGUAAUUUUUCUAUACUAUUAUGUCACUAUGAUCGAUUGGAAAUCUUAAUCUCUAUCUCUAAAACUACAAAUUUGAUAUUACCAGCGAUUAAGAAACUGGUGCUUAAAAAUAAAUAGUUUCAGUUUAUAUUGAUAAACUAAGUUUAUAAAAGAAUUAGAUGAUCCGGUGAACUUCGUGUUACAUACAACGCCAUCUAUUGAAAGUAAUCUGAAGUAGCGAUUCUCAUUAGAACAUUAUUAAUUUUUAAUUUAAUUUCACUUUUUAUUUCUUUGACACCACCCACUGUAAUGCAACGAAUAAAACGGCAAAAUCAAUAUCGGUCAAGCUGUUUUUAUUCGUAACAUAAUAGUUCAGUUAAAGUACCAAAUAAAAUGUGCGUUCACGGCAUAAUGAAAUCUUCAACACAAUAAGAUUUUUAGUAUCGUCACGUCAUGAUUGGAUAUAAGCUAUAUAAAUAUAAAAAUUUCAUAAUCGUUCAAUAACUGUUUACUUAUAUAUAAACAAAUUGUGUAGAUAACUGGAUUGGGACCAAAGAUAUUUAACAUAUAGUAAUUUGAAACUUCAAAAUUUACGCUCAAAUUUGACGUAUGUGCCAUGUUAUCUUUUGUCGUGUCUUAGAGGCUAAACUAUUUUAUAAUGAAACUGGUUAAUUGUUUAUAUAUAAGUAAAUUGAUAGAUAGGUGAAUUACAAACAAAAUAUAGUAUGCAGUG
rnacentral:lncRNA from 1 species